GUGGAUGGAAACGAGACCAAGAGAAAAAAAUAAGCAACUUAAUAACCUACUUUUACCCAGAGAAUGGAAAAUAAAAUGCAAGAUUCCAAACCCUGCCCUUUCAUUGCAUCUUCAUCUUUGGAAAAUACAGAGUGCCACAGACUGAACUCUCCCAGCUGGCUGGGGAUCCCACUCACUGCUAGGACCCAGGACUCCAGAAUUUUCAAUGUAUGUGUAUGUGUGUACUAUAUAUUUUAUAUAAUAUAUAGUGUAUUCAUAUAAUAUUCAACCCCCUAUAUCUACGAACAUAUAUACAUAUGUAUUUAUUUAAAUUCAUGCAUGUAUAUAUACAUAGAUACGCAUGCUUGUUUAUUUAUUUAUUUAUUUAUUAU
rnacentral:lncRNA from 1 species